rnacentral:lncRNA from 1 species
UCCAGCAACCUACCCCUCUUUGCCGCAGCCACCACCCAUUCCAUCAACCUUUCCCACCUUUUGCCGCAGCUUCCAUCAAUUCCAGCACCAUUCCACACAUCCAUACAUCAUUCUCCACCUCCAUAAACCAUUCCCACACCUUGCCGCACCACCAUACUAUCCUAUCUACCUUUCAAAAACCCAAAAACACAUCCAGAAAACUCCAUUCACGCCAGAACCUGUCCCUCACCUUUGCCGAGCCCAACCUUCACCCAACUCCAUAUUUUCUGACCCCAAACCUUCCUAGCCGUGCCCUAAACCCAGCCUAGACAUUUUUCCACCAUUCUUCCUCGUCCAAAAUCAUCCAAAACUACCCAAAAAUCCCCUAAACCCUCUCUGCCGCAGCAAGGAGAAGAAGAAAGAGGAGCUUGCUGUGCAGAAUUCAAAGUGGAAUUCUUUGGCUUUUUAGGUGUAAUCUUUCUUAUGUCUUCGAUGUUUAAAUUUAAUAAACUUUGUGUUGUGAGUAUGAGGAACUAAACCCCCUUAGUUGGGGGGUGAUUCGAAACCAUGUACAUGCU